rnacentral:tRNA from 1 species
UCAGGGAAUAGUUUAGUUAGAAUGUCAGCUUGGGUGUUGGUGGUG